GUGGGGAAUAUUGGACAAUGGGCGAAAGCCUGAUCCAGCCAUGCCGCGUGUGUGAAGAAGGUCUUCGGAUUGUAAAGCACUUUAAGUUGGGAGGAAGGGCAGUAAGUUAAUACCUUGCUGUUUUGACGUUACCGACAGAAUAAGCACCGGCUAACUUCGUGCCAGCAGCCGCGGUAAUACGAAGGGUGCAAGCGUUAAUCGGAAUUACUGGGCGUAAAGCGCGCGUAGGUGGUUUUGUAAGUUGGAGGUGAAAUCCCCGGGCUCAACCUGGGAACUGCCUCCAAAACUGCAUGACUAGAGUACGGUAGAGGGUAGUGGAAUUUCCUGUGUAGCGGUGAAAUGCGUAGAUAUAGGAAGGAACACCAGUGGCGAAGGCGACUACCUAGACUGAUACUGACACUGAGGUGCGAAAGCGUGGGGAGCAAACAGGAUUAGAUACCCUAGUAGUCC
rnacentral:rRNA from 1 species